rnacentral:rRNA from 1 species
UGGGGAAUAUUGGACAAUGGGGGGAACCCUGAUCCAGCCAUGCCGCGUGUGUGAAGAAGGCCUUAUGGUUGUAAAGCACUUUCAGCGAGGAGGAGGCUACUCUAGUUAAUACCUAGGGAUAGUGGAGGUUACUCGCAGAAUAAGCACCGGCUAACUCUGUGCCAG